GAAAAAGAGGUGAUUCGUGUUUGGUUCUGUAACCGCCGCCAGAAAGAAAAAAGAAUCAACCCACCAAGCAGUGGUGGGACCAGCAGCUCACCUAUUAAAGCAAUUUUCCCCAGCCCAACUUCACUGGUGGCGACCACACCAAGCCUUGUGACUAGCAGUGCAGCAACUACCCUCACAGUCAGCCCUGUCCUCCCUCUGACCAGUGCUGCUGUGACGAAUCUUUCAGUUACAGGCACUUCAGACACCACCUCCAACAACACAGCAACCGUGAUUUCCACAGCGCCUCCAGCUUCCUCAGCAGUCACGUCCCCCUCUCUGAGUCCCUCCCCUUCUGCCUCAGCCUCCACCUCCGAGGCAUCCAGUGCCAGUGAGACCAGCACAACACAGACCACCUCCACUCCUUUGUCCUCCCCUCUUGGGACCAGCCAGGUGAUGGUGACAGCGUCAGGUUUGCAAACAGCAGCAGCUGCUGCCCUUCAAGGAGCUGCACAGUUGCCAGCAAAUGCCAGUCUUGCUGCCAUGGCAGCUGCUGCAGGACUAAACCCAAGCCUGAUGGCACCCUCACAGUUUGCGGCUGGAGGUGCCUUACUCAGUCUGAAUCCAGGGACCCUGAGCAGUGCUCUCAGCCCAGCUCUAAUGAGCAACAGUACACUGGCAACUAUUCAAGG
rnacentral:lncRNA from 1 species